rnacentral:rRNA from 1 species
CGCCAGACUCCUACGGGAGGCAGCAGUGGGGAAUAUUGCACAAUGGGGGAAACCCUGAUGCAGCGACGCCGCGUGAGUGAAGAAGUAUUUCGGUAUGUAAAGCUCUAUCAGCAGGGAAGAAAAUGACGGUACCUGACUAAGAAGCCCCGGCUAACUACGUGCCAGCAGCCGCGGUAAUACGUAGGGGGCAAGCGUUAUCCGGAUUUACUGGGUGUAAAGGGAGCGUAGACGGCAUGGCAAGUCAGAUGUGAAAGCCCGGGGCUCAACCCCGGGACUGCAUUUGAAACUGUCAGGCUGGAGUGCAGGAGAGGUAAGUGGAAUUCCUAGUGUAGCGGUGAAAUGCGUAGAUAUUAGGAGGAACACCAGUGGCGAAGGCGGCUUACUGGACUGUAACUGACGUUGAGGCUCGAAAGCGUGGGGAGCAAACAGGAUUAGAUCCCCUAGUAAA